GACAGAGGGUGCAAACGUUGUUCGGAAUUACUGGGUGUAAAGCGCGUGUAGGCGGCUAAGUAAGUCGGGCGUGAAAUCCCACGGCUCAACCGUGGAAGUGCACUCGAAACUGCAUAGCUAGAGUCCUGGAGAGGAAGGUGGAAUGCUUGGUGUAGAGGUGAAAUUCGUAGAUAUCAAGCGGAACACCGGUGGCGAAGGCGGCCUUCUGGACAGUGACUGACGCUGAGGUGCGAAAGCGUGGGGAGCAAACAGG
rnacentral:rRNA from 1 species